rfam:Schistosoma haematobium scaffold166_4, whole genome shotgun sequence.
UUAUCUUCGGCGGUACAUAUACUAAAAUUGGAACGAUACAGAGAAGAUUAACAUGGCCCCUGCACAAGGAUGACACGCAAAACCGUGAAGUGUUUCAUAUUUUC